rnacentral:rRNA from 1 species
GACGAACGCUGGCGGCGUGCUUAACACAUGCAAGUCGAACGGAAAGGCCCUGCUUUUGUGGGGUGCUCGAGUGGCGAACGGGUGAGUAACACGUGAGUAACCUGCCCUUGACUUUGGGAUAACUUCAGGAAACUGGGGCUAAUACCGGAUAGGAGCUCCUGCUGCAUGGUGGGGGUUGGACAGUUUCGGCGGUUGGGGAUGGACUCGCGGCUUAUCAGCUUGUUGGUGGGGUAGUGGCUUACCAAGGCUUUGACGGGUAGCCGGCCUGAGAGGGUGACCGGCCACAUUGGUCCUGAGAUACGGCCCAGACUCCUACGGGAGGCAGCAGUGGGGAAUAUUGCACAAUGGUCGGAAGCCUGAUGCAGCAACGCCGCGUGCGGGAUGACGGCCUUCGGGUUGUAAACCGCUUUCGCCUGUGACGAAGCGUGAGUGACGGUAAUGGGUAAAGAAGCACCGGCUAACUACGUG